GAUGAACGCUGGCGGCGUGCCUAAUACAUGCAAGUCGAGCGAACGGACGAGAAGCUUGCUUCUCUGAUGUUAGCGGCGGACGGGUGAGUAACACGUGGAUAACCUACCUAUAGGACUGGGAUAACUUCGGGAAACCGGAGCUAAUACCGGAUAAUAUUUUGAACCGCAUGGUUCAAAAGUGAAAGACGGUCUUGCUGUCACUUAUAGAUGGAUCCGCGCUGCAUUAGCUAGCUGGUAAGGUAACGGCUUACCAAGGCAACGAUGCAUAGCCGACCUGAGAGGGUGAUCGGCCACACUGGAACUGAGACACGGUCCAGACUCCUACGGGAGGCAGCAGUAGGGAAUCUUCCGCAAUGGGCGAAAGCCUGACGGAGCAACGCCGCGUGAGUGAUGAAGGUCUUCGGAUCGUAAAACUCUGUUAUUAGGGAAGAACAUAUGUGUAAGUAACUGUGCACAUCUUGACGGUACCUAAUCAGAAAGCCACGGCUAACUACGUG
rnacentral:rRNA from 1 species